UCAGGACGAACGCUGGCGGCGCGCCUAACACAUGCAAGUCGAACGGAGCUUAGAGAGCUUGCUUUUUAAGCUUAGUGGCGAACGGGUGAGUAACGCGUGAGUAACCUGCCCUAGAGUGGGGGACAACAGUUGGAAACGACUGCUAAUACCGCAUAAGCCCACGGUACCGCAUGGUACUGAGGGAAAAGGAUUUAUUCGCUUUAGGAUGGACUCGCGUCCAAUUAGCUAGUUGGUGAGGUAACGGCCCACCAAGGCGACGAUUGGUAGCCGGACUGAGAGGUUGAACGGCCACAUUGGGACUGAGACACGGCCCAGACUCCUACGGGAGGCAGCAGUGGGGGAUAUUGCACAAUGGGGGAAACCCUGAUGCAGCGACGCCGCGUGGAGGAAGAAGGUUUUCGGAUUGUAAACUCCUGUCGUUAGGGACGAUAAUGACGGUACCUAACAAGAAAGCACCGGCUAACUACGUGCCAGCAGCCGCGGUAAAACGUAGGGUGCAAGCGUUGUCCGGAAUUACUGGGUGUAAAGGGAGCGCAGGCGGGAAGACAAGUUGGAAGUGAAAACCAUGGGCUCAACCCAUGAAUUGCUUUCAAAACUGUUUUUCUUGAGUAGUGCAGAGGUAGAUGGGAUUCCCGGUGUAGCGGUGGAAUGCGUAGAUAUCGGGAGGAACACCAGUGGCGAAGGCGGUCUACUGGGCACCAACUGACGCUGAGGCUCGAAAGCAUGGGUAGCAAACAGGAUUAGAUACCCUGGUAGUCCAUGCCGUAAACGAUGAUUACUAGGUGUUGGGGGAUUGACCCCCUCAGUGCCGCAGUUAACACAAUAAGUAAUCCACCUGGGGAGUACGACCGCAAGGUUGCAACUCAAAGGAAUUGACGG
rnacentral:rRNA from 1 species